GACGAACGCUGGCGGCGUGCUUAACACAUGCAAGUCGAACGGAAAGGCCCUGCUUGCAGGGUACUCGAGUGGCGAACGGGUGAGUAACACGUGGGUGAUCUGCCCUGCACUUCGGGAUAAGCCUGGGAAACUGGGUCUAAUACCGGAUAGGAGCCAUUUUUAGUGUGAUGGUUAGAAAGUUUUUUCGGUGUAGGAUGAGCUCGCGGCCUAUCAGCUUGUUGGUGGGGUAAUGGUCUACCAAGGCGGCGACGGGUAGCCGGCCUGAGGGGGUGGACGGCCACACUGGGACUGAGAUACGGCCCAGACUCCUACGGGAGGCAGCAGUGGGGAAUAUUGCACAAUGGGCGCAAGCCUGAUGCAGCGACGCCGCGUGGGGGAUGACGGCCUUCGGGUUGUAAACUCCUUUCGCUAGGGACGAAGCUUUUUGUGACGGUACCUAGAUAAGAAGCACCGGCUAACUACGUG
rnacentral:rRNA from 1 species